rnacentral:rRNA from 1 species
AACAAACGCUGGCGGCAGGCCUAAAACAUGCAAGUCGAACGAUUGCAGCAAUGCAGUAGUUGCGCGCGGGUGAGUAACACGUGGGAAUAUGCCUUUUGGUACGGAACAACUUUUGGAAACGAAAGCUAAUACCGUAUGGUCCCUUCGGGGUACAGAUUUAUCGCCAAAAGAGUAGCCCGCGCUGGAUUAGCUAGUUAGUGAGGUAACGGCUCACCAAGGCGAGUAUCCAUAGCUGGUCUGAGAGGAUGAUCAGCCACACUGGGACUGAGACACGGCGCAGAAUCCUACGGGAGGCAGCAGUUAGGAAUAUUGGACAAUGGGCGCAAGCCUGAUCCAGCCAUGCCGCGUGAGUGAUGAAGGCCUUCGGGUUGUAAAGCUCUUUAGUCCACGAAUAUAAUGACUGUAGUGGAAGAAUAAGCCCCGGCUAACUUCGUGCCAGCCGCCGCAGUAA